AGUGAACGCUGGCGGUAGGCCUAACACAUGCAAGUCGAACGGCAGCACAGUAAGAGCUUGCUCUUACGGGUGGCGAGUGGCGGACGGGUGAGGAAUACAUCGGAAUCUACUUUUUCGUGGGGGAUAACGUAGGGAAACUUACGCUAAUACCGCAUACGACCUACGGGUGAAAGCAGGGGAUCUUCGGACCUUGCGCGAUUGAAUGAGCCGAUGUCGGAUUAGCUAGUUGGCGGGGUAAAGGCCCACCAAGGCGACGAUCCGUAGCUGGUCUGAGAGGAUGAUCAGCAACACUGGAACUGAGACACGGUCCAGACUCUUAGGGGAGGCAGCAGUGGGGAAUAUUGGACAAUGGGCGAAAGCCUGAUCAAGCCAUACCGCGUGGUGAAGAAGGCCUUCGGGUUGUAAAGCCCUUUUGUUGGGAAAGAAAAGCAGCAGGUUAAUACCCCGCUGUUCUGACGGUACCCAAAGAAUAAGCACCGGCUAACUUCGUG
rnacentral:rRNA from 1 species